GCCCGCUCAGAAACUCAAAGGAAGUUGACGGGGCCCGCACAAGCGGAGGAGCAUGUGGUUUAAUUCGAUGAUACGCGAGGAACCUUACCUGGGCUCGAACGUAAGAUGACUGUAGGUGAAAGCUUACAUCUCUUCGGAGCAUUUUACGAGGUGCUGCAUGGUUGUCGUCAGCUCGUGCCGUGAGGUGUCGGGUUAAGUCCCAUAACGAGCGCAACCCCUACCUUUAGUUGCCAUCAGGUUAAGCUGGGGACUCUAAAGGAACUGCCUACGCAAGUAGUGAGGAAGGCGGGGAUGACGUCAAAUCAGCACGGCCCUUACGUCCAGGGCUACACACGUGCUACAAUGGCCGAUACAGAGGGCAGCUACCUGGUGACAGGAUGCAAAUCUCCAAAGUCGGUCUCAGUUCGGAUCGGAGUCUGCAACCCGACUCCGUGAAGUUGGAUUCGCUAGUAAUCGCGCAUCAGCCAUGGCGCGGUGAAUACGUUCCCGGGCCUU
rnacentral:rRNA from 1 species